rnacentral:rRNA from 1 species
AGUGAACGCUGGCGGUAGGCCUAACACAUGCAAGUCGAACGGCAGCACAGUAAGAGCUUGCUCUUACGGGUGGCGAGUGGCGGACGGGUGAGGAAUACAUCGGAAUCUACUUUUUCGUGGGGGAUAACGUAGGGAAACUUACGCUAAUACCGCAUACGACCUACGGGUGAAAGCAGGGGAUCUUCGGACCUUGCGCGAUUGAAUGAGCCGAUGUCGGAUUAGCUAGUUGGCGGGGUAAAGGCCACCAAGGCGACGAUCCGUAGCUGGUCUGAGAGGAUGAUCAGCCACACUGGAACUGAGACACGGUCCAGACUCCUACGGGAGGCAGCAGUGGGGAAUAUUGGACAAAGGGCGCAAGCCUGAUCCAGCCAUACCGCGUGGGUGAAGAAGGCCUUCGGGUUGUAAAGCCCUUUUGUUGGGAAAGAAAAGCAGCAGGUUAAUACCCCGCUGUUCUGACGGUACCCACAGAAUAAGCACCGGCUAACUUCGUG